rnacentral:tRNA from 1 species
AACCCUUUAAGUUACACUAAACUAUUGGCCUUCAAAGCCUAAAUUACACCUUUAAACUUG